AUACGGAGGGGGCUAGCGUUGUUCGGAAUUACUGGGCGUAAAGCGCGCGUAGGCGGAUUGACAAGUUGGAGGUGAAAUCCCGGGGCUCAACCCCGGAACUGCCUUCAAAACUGUCAGUCUUGAGUUCGGAAGAGGUGAGUGGAAUUCCUAGUGUAGAGGUGAAAUUCGUAGAUAUUAGGAAGAACACCAGUGGCGAAGGCGACUCACUGGUCCGAUACUGACGCUGAGGUGCGAAAGCGUGGGGAGCAAACAGGAUUAGAAACCCUAGUAGUCC
rnacentral:rRNA from 1 species